UAGAUUGAAGUCCGCUGGUUUGGAUGUUUAGUUGUUAACUAAAAUGUUGCGGGAUCGAGGCCCGCUGAUCUAGG
rnacentral:tRNA from 1 species